rnacentral:rRNA from 1 species
GAGUUUGAUCUUGGCUCAGGAUGAACGCUGGCGGCGUGCUUAACACAUGCAAGUCGAGCGAAGCGGUUUUUCGGAAGUUUUCGGACGGAAGAGGAAUUGACUGAGCGGCGGACGGGUGAGUAACGCGUGGGCAACCUGCCUCACACAGGGGGAUAACAGUUGGAAACGGCUGCUAAUACCGCAUAAGCGCACAGCGCCGCAUGGCGCGGUGUGAAAAACUCCGGUGGUGUGAGAUGGGCCCGCGUCUGAUUAGGUAGUUGGUGAGGUAACGGCCCACCAAGCCGACGAUCAGUA